UCUAGAACUCGAGGUAUGGGUUGAACGUCAUACAAUGUCUGGGCUGCAGGACAGAUUCAGACUUCUCUUUUAUUGCUAAGAUUUGAACUUGAAAACGGUAUUUUUAAAUCUUUAACUCUUCAUGAAUGUUUUAUGCAUAUGUAUUAGCUUUCCAUC
rfam:Populus trichocarpa scaffold_1_contig_377, whole genome shotgun sequence.